rnacentral:lncRNA from 1 species
CAACAUAGUUCCCAUCGUUCAAUGGGGGAAAAUCAGAGAAAAAAGGAAUAAGAAGAAAAUUUUGAUUCUAUGAAAACUCGGCAAGAGUUUAUAAGCCCCGAAGUCGUGCGUUGAACAAACUUCGCGGAUGGAUUAAUCCUUGAGUCCAGAACCACCAAAUCAGGAACGAAACCUGAGACUUUUGGACUGCUAGCGCAUCAUCCCCCGUACCACAACGACCCUUGCCCGGAUAGAAAACGCUGCGAGAGGGGGGAGAUUGAGGCUAUUUUUUGUGCCUAUCCGAACAAAUCGGCUGGAGUUAGCAUCCCUUGCUAAAUUGCCAGUUCUCACUUGAUAAUCCUCUCCUUUUACAUUCGUUCUACAUGUAGAGCAAUUAUUCCGAGUCUCUCAUGAAGCGACAACCCCGAUCCCUUGUGAAACAGUCGGAGAAAGGCCCUGGCUUAGCGGGCUCUAUAUUCACAUCCGGAGCCAGUAUUUCGGCCAUUACUGAAAUAUCAUAGCUGAAUCGGAUGAACAAACCGUGUGCAUAUUGGUUUCAGCCAAUUAUGCCAAACAUUGGAUGCGGAUUCUUGCUGCUAAAUGCUGGCCGAUCAUAGCUGUCGAGAUGAAAUGUUUCCUUCAAUCUGUUCAGCCAAAUGCCGGCCGACUGAAACUUAGGAGAAAUCAAAGUCUGUUUGCAAUUAUGGUUGUAUGCUACCUAUUUACUGAUUUUACUUCCUACCUUCAUGGUUAUCUUCAUGACACUUUUGGCGGCUAAAAAUGAAGCUACAGCUAGAAACGUUCUGCCUUUUUAGU